rnacentral:rRNA from 1 species
CAAUAGCGUAUAUUAAAGUUGUUGCAGUUAAAAAGCUCGUAGUUGGAUCUCUGGUGGGAGCGAUCGGUCUGGCGCUUAGCGCGAGUACUUGCAUCGUCUCCGGCCAUCCUUGGGGAGAGUCUGUCUGGCAUUAGGUUGUCGGGCAGAGGAUCCUCAUCGUUUACUGUGAAAAAAUUAGAGUGUUCAAAGCAGGCUUAUGCCGUUGAAUAUAUUAGCAUGGAAUAAUAAGAUAGGACUUUGGUACUAUUUUGUUGGUCUGCGCACCAAAGUAAUGAUUAAUAGGGACAGUUGGGGGUAUUCGUAUUCCGUUGUCAGAGGUGAAAUUCUUGGAUUUACGGAAGACGAACUACUGCGAAAGCAUUUACCAAGGAUGUUUUCAUUAA